rnacentral:rRNA from 1 species
UACGAAGGGUGCAAGCGUUACUCGGAAUUACUGGGCGUAAAGCGUGCGUAGGUGGUUCGUUAAGUCUGUCGUGAAAUCCCUUGGCUCAACCAAGGAAGUGCGCGCGAAACUGGCGAGCUCGAGUGCCGGAGAGGGUCGCGGAAUUCCCGGUGUAGAGGUGAAAUUCGUAGAUAUCGGGAGGAACACCAGUGGCGAAGGCGGCGACCUGGACGGACACUGACGGCUGAGACGCGAAAGCGUGGGGAGCAAACAGG